rnacentral:rRNA from 14 species
ACGAACGCUGGCGGCGUGCCUAAUACAUGCAAGUCGAGCGAAUCGACGGGAGCUUGCUCCCUGAGAUUAGCGGCGGACGGGUGAGUAACACGUGGGCAACCUGCCUAUAAGACUGGGAUAACUUCGGGAAACCGGAGCUAAUACCGGAUACGUUCUUUUCUCGCAUGAGAGAAGAUGGAAAGACGGUUUACGCUGUCACUUAUAGAUGGGCCCGCGGCGCAUUAGCUAGUUGGUGAGGUAAUGGCUCACCAAGGCGACGAUGCGUAGCCG